rnacentral:rRNA from 1 species
GAGUUGUACAUUUUGUCUACCGAAAGGUAAGUACGAAAUGGAACAAGUCUUUUGUUCUUGUUUGUUUGUUGGGUAAAACUAGCAAAAGAACAAGAAUGGUUACCUUGAAAAAAUUAGAGUGCUCAAAGCAGGCAAUUUUGCUUGAAUAGAUUAGCAUGGAAUAACGAAAUAGGACUUUGGUCUAUUUUGUUGGUUUUUGGGAUCGAAGUA